UGGACACCCACGAAUCUUAUAUCUGCACCCAGCUCAUGUCUUCAAGAAUAUGAACCCCAAAACAAGACGUCAUCUCCAUUCAAUAAGCAUCAAAUCUCUUUGGCGUGGACAUCAGCUUAGACAGAGGUUGAAUUGGAGAUGGAGAUUACUUCGGUCAGCUUGAUUCGGAGAUGGCCCUGUAUAGAUAAAAGGGGUUCUCCUCUUGAAUCUGCACUCCACUCAAUUGGGGAUGUGUACUGGGUAAUGACUUCUUGCUCUUGAGCUUCUUUGAUUCGAAGAGACAAAAAAGUCUUGCAACUGAUCUUGAUUUGUUUUCAAUUGCUAGCACUCUUCUUUAAAAUUUCUGGGCAUUUCUGGGGCUUACGUAUUUCGUGCUUCUCGAACACCUGGAAUAACAAACUGAUUGUGGCUUCUCAAAAGGUGAGUUAGAGAUCAGCUCAAUCCUGCAUUUCCACCGCUUCAUGAGGAAAAAUGCACAGCUUGGUUGCUUUUUAUAGUUCUUUAUGUGCCCAUAAUGCCUCUUGCUUUUUGUCUUUUGCUCCCAUUUGUGAACAAAGAUGCAGCCCACCAUAGUUGGAUAAUUGUGCUUUUAAUUAUAUAUGAGUUUUUGCCUUCAUGUUUAUUGUAUAUUGAUCAGCUUUCCACCGCCAAAAAUUUCUUCACAGAGGACAUUAUUAUCAUUACUUUGGCCUUGUCUCUUUAUGCAUCAAAGCUCAAAGUUCUAUUGCUUUUUUUUUUUCAACACCACCACUUUGUCUUCUUCUUUUAUUUGUUGCUUCAAAAGCUUGUCUACCAUGAUUAAUUAUUAUAUGGCUUAAUGUGCAGGUAACAACUCAAGCCACACGUUAAUCAUCAAGACCAAGUUCUUUUUGCCAUGCUUCAGAAUCCACUGUCUGAUGGAGCCUUUUGUGAACGCUGCAGGUACAAGUGCAGGCAGGGACUUCGACAGCAAGUGCAGGCAGGAACUUUGAUAGCAAAAGCCAUUUCCUUGCUGGGAUUUGGUGGAGGAAGUGAGUCCAGAUUUCUUGUGGAGAAGUGAACAAGCUUCUGUAUCCUCAGCUUAGUCUCAAGUUUCUGAUUUCCUUUCCUCCUUGCUUGCAGGCUGCUAGUCUGUUCUUUGUGUGGCUUGUUUUGCAAGUGGUGCAAGGCCAUUUGUUUUGUUGCGGUGGAAAGGAAGGCAGGAGGUAGGAGGCUUCUUGGCGGUGACCUUGCUGAAUCUUGGAACCAGUGAGAGUCUUUGUGGAAGAAAAGAGGCAUUGGAGCCUUGUUUUCACAUGGUUCGGAGGUUUGCUGACACUCUGAACACAACCUUGAUGGAGGUGUAUUGGAUUCGCUGCUGCAAUGUAUUCCACCGGAUUGGUCAUACUCUCAUUGAUACAUAAAGCGUACCGUGCACGAGAUUACGACCGCUCCGGGGACCUCCACAGCUCCACAGCUCCAUGGUGACACGAAUAAAAGAGAUUCCUGCAUGAAAAACAAAGGAAGUAGCACUGGUAGAUCAGAGAGAUCUCAACCUUUGUAUCUGCUUGUUGGCUCCUCGGUGCUUGUUGGCUCCUCGAAGCACGAUCAAAAUCUCUGAACACUUCUCUUUGUUCUGCAGCAGGGCUUCGCCUCUUUCUUGAUGUACUUCCUGUGUCUCUCUCUAGCCUUUUCUGCUUCUCCUCCGCCUCCCAUCUUUUUCUUCACCGUUGCCACCUUUAUAUAAGGGUGGUUGGAUAAGUGUAGCCGGACAGCUGAUAACCACUUUGUAUUUGAAUUUGAAUAACAAGCUUAACUUUAUCA